rnacentral:lncRNA from 10 species
CCGCACCCGACCAACCUCCCAAUCUAAAGUAGCCCCCAAGUUCUCUCUCCCCUCACCCUGCCUUAUAUCAUCUCAUACUCCUUAUCGCUAUCUGAUAUUAUAUUUCAUAUUUACUUGGUAUCUGUCUAUUUUGUUCAAGACCAUAAAUUCAGGGCCUAAAACAUUGCGGGGUAUAAAGACUGUGUUCAAUAAAUACUGUGUAAAUGAAUUGAUAAGUAAAUAAGCAAAUGACAUGCAUCAGUACUUACUGAAUGCUGCACUGAAUGUCAGCAAAGGCAUAAGAGAAUGUCUGGAUCUGUAGUUUCUGAUGUAAUCGAAGCAGAAACUUGUUUCCCAGCCAUGCCCACAUUAGUUUUUUAAAUGACAAAAAAUAAACCCUACUAAGACAGAUGGCGCCUCAGGGUAGAAAGAACAUGGGUUUGGAUGUGAAUAACUCACAUCUGAAACACACUUAGUAGCUAUAUGAACUUGUACAAGUGACUCAACUUCUCUGAGCUCCACAUCUCACUGUGGGUGGAGGUAAUGGUAUCCUCCUCCUGGGGGUAUUUUAAGUGAGACAGUGCACGCUGAGUUGAGGUCCUGCUCCACACACUGAGGCAUGGUCAAGUCCAAAAACAAGUAAAUGAAAAAGACAAAAAUCCUUGACUUUGUGGAAUUGGCAGUCAGUAAAUAAGAAAUAUAAAUUAAAUAUAUGUUAGUUAGAUGGUGAGAAAUAAUAAGGAGAAAAGCCAAUGGGGGUGGGGAACAUGAGAGAAGGCUUCCAGUUUUGAAAUGGGGUAGCCAAGGAAGGCCUUGAUUAGGUGCCUUUUGAGAUGAGGGACAGAGCCACGAAGACAGCUGGGGAAGGAAGCAGUUCAGGCAGUGAGAAGAACAAGGCUCUAAGGUGUGAAUGUGCCUGUUUCAAGAACAGCAGGAAGCUAAUGGGGCUGGAUGGUGAGAAGUAAUCAAAGAUGAGGUUAGAGAGGGAAGGGCCUUGGCUGGGGGACAGAAAACUAGAAGAGGCCCAGGGAAUAACCAUGGACACUACAAUGGUAAGAGGUUGGAGAGAUGAAGAGUAACCAACAGGGAGGCAGAGAGGGAGGGGCCUGGGGCAACGAGGGGCUCCAUAUCUCCCGAACCAUAUAUUUACAAAUAAUCUCCAAGAGUGGAUUACUCUUGCUUAUUUCUUUUUUUUUUUUUUUUUUCUCACUCUGGUCUCACCUUGUCACCCUGGCUGGAUUGCAGUGGCAUGAUUAUGGCUCGUUGCAGCCUCAACCUCCUGGGCUCAAGUGAUCCUCCCACGUCAGCCUCCCAAGUAGCUGGGGCAACAGGUGUGCAUCACCACGGCCUGCUAAUUUUUGUAUUUUUUCAUAGGGAUGGGGUUUCCCUAUGUUGCCCAGGCUGAUCUUGAACUCCUGGGAUCAAGUGAUUCUCCCACCUUGGCCUCCCAAAGUGCUGGGAGUACAGGCAUGAGCCACCGCUGCACCUGGCACUCUUGCUUAUCUCUAUGGCUACAGUGGCCUAUUGCCUUCUUUGUGUUUGGACACAUUAUCAGGGCCAACCUCGGAGUUCACCUUUUAAGGUCACAAGUCCCUAUGACUGAAGUGUGAAUGACUGACAGGUUUAUCCUUCUCAGGGGGUAUACAAUGAAAGAAAAUCCCUUUAAUAAAAUGAAUCUCUAUUUGAUGAAAUACUGUAGGAAAAAGGGUCAUUUCCCAGAGGGAACUAUCUGUAUCCCUGGCAUGCUGCAGUUCACUGUAGUGAUGAUGGUACCACCCUGGUCAGUAUCAACCCUUGGGAAACCAUUGGGAAGGAGAAACAAGCUCUUGGGGGAGCAUCAAUACUGCUUUGGGCUGUAAGGUCUUAGAGGCCAGGAAAAGUAUCUGGGACCCAAGCAUAGCUCAUAAUGCCUGAGCAGGUGCACACUGCCUUACCUUAAGCAGGAUAAAGCAAGAAGUGGGCAGGCAGCUUCCUGACACUGUCUUUAAACUCAGCUUCUGCCCACCACACUUCUGGUUCCCUUCCACCUAACCACUUCUCUGUCUCCGUUGCAAUUUCUCCUUUUUCUCAAGCUCCAGCCUAGUGCCCCAGCCUCCCUUUCCACAAAUGGUGUUAGAUUGUCAACAUUGCAGAAAUGGUGAGUUCAGUUCUUUCCACCAAGGUCUUCGCGGUUCCAUGAGAAACCUGUUGUCUCUUCCCAUUUUCCUUUCACUACUCACCAGCACCAAAUCCCCAGUCAGCAAACCAGAGAGUACAAAAGCAGGGACUUUUACACUAGGGUUCCUCUUCCCCAUACCCACAAUUGCCUCCUCGACUAAGGAAGGUGAUGGGAAAAUGACAAUGACACCAAUAGGACAAUGGGACAAAAGCAUGGACAGGAAACUCACAAAAGCAUGGACAGGAAACACGAAUAGCCAUUAAACAGUUAAAAAGAAUGUUGACAUUUAACAACAAAUGUGCAGUUUAAAGGAGCAAUAAGAGACCAUUUCAUCUAUCAAAGUGGCGAGGAUUCUAAUGUGGAGGGUUGGCGAGAGUAAGGACACAGGCAGACACUACUAACUGGAGUAGAAAGGCCUCACUGCUUUCUGGAGAAUGGCUUGGCAACACAUAGAGACCAAGAGCUUUAAAACAAGUCUAUGUCUUCACCCUUUCACUCAGGGGUUUCACUUCUAGAAUUUAGCCUAAGGCAAUAAUUAGCCAUGCAAAUAUGUAAGUUCAAGGAUAUUUACCGAAGGUCUGGGCGC